GGUCUACGCCAGACUCAGUCCCAUCAGGCUCGACCUCCCCUCGCCACUUAUGCUAGAAGGAUGAGGACUAGAUCACAGCCCUUAGAUUCCCCCUAGGCCCGAUGUUAGCACUUCAGUAGUCUAUCAUGUCUAGUGUCUAGGAAAUAUCUAGUUCUUAUAUGCAUUUUACUUGGUUUAUGUAUUUUACACCUUAAUUGAAGAACAUUGUACAUUUGGCCUUAAUGUACUACAAUGUUCUAUUUUGAUCAAUGAAAUUUGAACUUUUAUCAUUUACUGCUUCUACUUAUCUGUUGCUAUAUACUUGUUUGAUGAUAACAAAAAGGGGAAAAAGUAAGAAAAGAAAGAAGUUGCAAUAUAAAGGGACAAAUAAGUUUGAAAAUUAUAGUAAGAGAUAAUAUUCACUUAAGGGGGAGCAAUAUGUAACAAUGAAAAUUUUUAAAACAAGAAAGUCUGAAUUUUUAAUCAAAAUUUCUGAAUUUGUCACAUACUUCUCGUGCCUCGAUACAUAACCUGAAACUCUUGCUUUAUCUCAAAUUUUUGAAGUUUCAUUCUUAAUAAAAUACAAAAGAAAGGGGGAGAAAAUCAAAUGUUCUAAUUGGCAAUAUUUGGAUGAAAGAGGGGGAGCAUUCA
rnacentral:lncRNA from 1 species